UAGGGAAUAUUGGACAAUGGGGGCAACCCUGAUCCAGCCAUGCCGCGUGAGUGAAGAAGGCCCUCGGGUUGUAAAGCUCUUUUGUCCGGAAAGAAAAGCUUCGGGUUAAUACCCCGGGGUUCUGACGGUACCGGAAGAAUAAGCACCGGCUAACUUCGUGCCAGCAGCCGCGGUAAUACGAAGGGUGCAAGCGUUACUCGGAAUUACUGGGCGUAAAGCGUGCGUAGGUGGUUGUUUAAGUCUGAUGGGAAAGCCCUGGGCUCAACCUGGGAAUGGCAUUAGAAACUGGGCAGCUAGAGUGCGGUAGAGGGUAGUGGAAUUCCCGGUGUAGCAGUGAAAUGCGUAGAGAUCGGGAGGAACAUCUGUGGCGAAGGCGACUGCCUGGACCAGCACUGACACUGAGGCACGAAAGCGUGGGGAGCAAACA
rnacentral:rRNA from 1 species